AAACAUUAACUGAAUGAAAACGGGUAGUCCUUGUUCUGCUUGGGGGGCUUUAAGGAAGCAAAUGGACUUUCAGAACAGAGAUUGUCAAUAAAGGUGUUGUGCCAUGUUAAAGACCCUCUUGUCAUUUUUAUUAUUCAUGGAUGGACGCUAAUUCUACAAGUCAGUUUAAGCAUAUGGAACUUCCUGAGCCAGGGAUGGAACACGAGUUGUCCAUGACAUGACACAGCUACGGCAAACACUGGAUCCUUAACCCACUGUGCUGGGUCGGGAAUUGAACUGGUGCCUCCACAGAGACAAGCUGGAUCAUUAAUCCAUUGUGCCACAGCAGCAAUCCACAUUGGAUUUUCUUCGGGGCCCAAUGUUAUAUAUGAAAUCCUUUGCAAACUAUGAAGUAUAUUUGUGAGAUGGUUUUACUGGAAACAGUAGGACACUAGAAACAAAUACGCUAUAGCAAUAUCAGCCACGGGCAUAAUAGUUAGUGGUUAAUUGAUACUCUUUGUUUAAGUCCUGACACAACCACCAUGCUGAUGCAGAUACUCUUUAUUAGUACACAGGAAAAUCAGAUCAUUAUCUAAGGCCAACAAGCUCCUCCUUGAGAUGUUCUGCCAUAUAAUCUGGAGGAAAUACUGUAAGACUUUGUCAGCACUGAGUCAUUUGCACUGGGAGUCUUACCAGAAAAAAAAAAUCUUGUCUUCUCAGAAGGUUGUUUACUGUUCUAUUCAAAGAUCAAUUUGUCAUGUCAACACUUUCUCUAAUACAAUGGCAAGUGGCAAGAACAAACUGUACAGAAUCCUGUUUCCAAGUAAGCAAAAGUGCACUGUGGGGAAGACUGGUAUAGCCUAAGCAGGUAUUAUAAGCAGAGACAGAUAGAUACGGGUUAAAGGCAAAGUUUUUUUGCCUUACGAGAUCCUAGAAUGAAGGUGACAUAGAGGGGACACAAAAGACAUAUAAUUAGAUAUAAAUGUUACCUUUACCCCAAACUCAGUCUUUCCUUUCUACUGACCAUUUAGGGCUCAAUUCACUAAUCUCCCACUUUAAUAUACAUUUGAAUUUUACCCCCCACUUCUUGAGACCACUUAUCUCAAGAAAGAUGUUACAUGACAGCUUUUAAGAUGCCAUGGUACAGAAACAAUUAAGUAUGCACCUGGUCCAUUAAAAGUGGCCUAUAUAAGAAAUAAGAUAUUCUACAGAAUUCUAUAAAUCCUGCUACUGCCACUCCCUGCUCCCUGGUAUCUGUUACCUUGUUUGUGUCAAUAGUCGCAGAUCCUAUGUUCCUGUUCUUACCUCAGUCUUUGGCAUUUUCUGUGUAACCCCUGGUAAUCAUAUUUAGCAGCCCUCCACUACACCCCUCAAUUUAAUGCUCCUAUUCUUUACUGGUGCUUUCACUGCCUUCCUCCUGAAGUCUUACUUUACCCUUCCCAUGUUUUAUGUGGUCUGACAGCUAUGUCUCAUGUCUUCUUUUAUCUAUGCUAGCAUAUGUAUUUGGUCAAUUCAGAAAAAUAAAAGUUUAUUUUAAUAUGCA
rnacentral:lncRNA from 1 species